GGGACGGCGCAAGGUGGCUGAGCGAAGCUUUUUGCUCGGUGCUUACAGGGAGUACCUGAGAUGGUUUGGGAAAGGAAACAGGGGGUCUCAGACCGCUUGGGUGCAGCGCUCUCCCCAUGCGUUUGAGUGCAGAUCUGUCGAGACGCCCCAGCCCUCGCCACCCCACCAAGCUCUCAGCUGCCAUGUUAUGAGGACACUUGGAGAAAGCUACAGGAGAGGAACUGAGGUCUCCUGCCAUCAGCCACUUGAGUGAGCAUGGGAGUGGAUUCUCCAAACUCCAGUUAAGACUUGAGAUGUCCACAGUGGCAGCCACUAGCUUGACUGCAACUUACGAGAGACCCUGAGCCAGAGGCACUCAGUUAAGUCAUACACAGUUUCCUGACCCGUAAAACCUGUGACACAAUGAAGGUUUGUUGUUUUGGGGGUAAUCCGUUAUUCAGCAAUAGAUAACGAAUACAGAAGGCUUGUAAUUGUAUAACCAACGUGAGUUUAUAAGCGGAUAUCUGACCUCAUUUGUUUUCUCCUGAAAAAGUUAUAGAAAAAUCACAAGACUGCAAGUCACUCUCUCUCUUUCUUUUGUGGGGAAUAAACAAGUAUAAUUACAAUUUCUAAACCUAUUGUUUUAUUCUCAAAUAUAAUUACAAUUUAAACAGGAUAUUGUAGAGCUCCAUCAUAGGGAUUAACACUAAUUAGAAUUAAAGAACGUUUUUGUGAAAGUCAGCUUUUUUUUUUUAAAUAAACACUCGUCCCUUGAUAAUGUAUUUCUUUUUCAUAAAAUUAAAAAAAAAAUGUGGGUUGUAGUAGGUGUAUAUAUUUAUGUGGUACAUGAGAUGUUUUGAUACAGGCAUGACGUGUAAUAAUCACAUCAUGGAAGAUGGCGUAUCCAUCCCCUCAAGCAUUUAUCCUUUGUGUUACAAACAAUCCAGUUACACUCUUUUUGUUAUUUAAAAAUGUACAAUUAAAUUAUUAUUGGCUAUAGUCACCCUGUUGUGCUAUCAAAUAUUAGGUCUUAUUCAUUCAUUUAACUAUUUUUUUGUACCUAUUUAUCAUCCCCAUCCCCGGUUCCCUCCCACCACCCACCCCACUACCCUUCCCGGCCUCUGGUAACCAUCCUUCUACUCUCUAGCUCCAUGAGCUCCAUUGUUUUGAUUUUUAGCUCCCACAAAUAAAUGAGAACAUGUAAUG
rnacentral:lncRNA from 1 species